AUGGACGAGGGGCUGGUGUCAGUGGACACGUUCAGCGGCGGCAGCCAGGCCUACUUCCUCACGCACCUCCACCAGGACCACACCCGGGGCCUCGGCGCGGCGGCCGGCUGGCGCCACGGCCCGCUCUACUGCUCCCCCGUCACGGCGCGCCUCCUCCCCACCCGCUUCCCGGGGGUCGACGCCUCCCUCAUCCGCCCCAUCGCCGCCGGCGCCUCCGCCUCGCUCUCCCUCACCUCCCCCAUCUCCGGGCGCACCGUCUCCCUCCACGUCACCGCCCUCCCCGCCAUCCACUGCCCCGGCUCGCUCAUGUUCCUCUUCCGCGGCGACCUCGGGUGCAGGCUCUACACCGGGGAUUUCCGGUGGGAGUUGGGGUGCGACAAGGCGCGGGCCGCGAAGAAGGCGCUCCUCGACGCGCUCGCCGGGGACACCGUCGACGUGCUCUACUUGGACAACUCCUACUGCCACCCGUCGCUCAACUUCCCCCCGCGCCGCGUCGUCGCUCAGCAGAUAGUUGACCUUAUUCGUGCUCAUCCUGAUCAUGAAGUUAUUCUUGGCAUUGACACUCUUGGCAAAGAAGACCUCUUGCUUUAUAUAGCCAGAGCACUACAAACGAAGAUUUGGGUCUGGCCCCAGCGCCUACUGACAAUGCACCUUCUAGGCAUUGAUGACAAUCGAGAGAUCUUCACCACCCAGACCAGCUUGACGAGGGUCCGGGCUGUUCCAAGAUACGGCCUGAGCAUCGAGAGUCUUGAAGCUUUGAACACAGUAUGCCCAACUAUAGGAAUCAUGCCUUCAGGCAACACUUGGCUAUGGAGAAACAGCGAGGGAAAGAGCAAGUUCAGUGGCAAAGGACCAGCAAAGUCUACCAAAUGCAAAGGGCGAGGACGGGGCGCAGUGGGCACAAUAGAGAUGAACUAUGAUCCCUCGUCACCACCAAAGCUAUUUGAGAAGGAUUCCUACACUCUGCCAUACACCGACCAUGCUUGUUUCGCAGAGUUAGAGGAUUUUAUGCAGACAGUGCGCCCGUCAACGGUCGUAGGGAUCGUCAGCUCAUCGUACUGUUACGUGAAUCCUCGUGGUCACUUUGGCCAUCUCUGCGGAGACGAAGCGUGCUCUGACAAGAUGCCCGUGAAGAACGGCGGGCAUGCUGGAAACUCGACGCCCGUAAAGAACGGCAGGCAUGCUGGAAACUCGACGCCUAAGAGAAGACCGGGUGCUUCGAAAGCCCCGAGGAGAAGGAUGGUCAAGAUCUCCAGUCCAACACUGUACAGAAGCAGAGCUAUAAUGAUGAAAAGGAGGUAUUCCUGUGGUGCAAAGAUUGUAGAACCCGAAGAACCCAUCCCUGUCUCUUGA
rnacentral:rRNA from 1 species